UACGUAGGGGGCGAGCGUUGUCCGGAUUCAUUGGGCGUAAAGCGCGUGCAGGCGUCCUGGUAAGUCGGCCGUGAAAGCGCCAGGCUUAACCUGGCGAGGUCGGGCGAGACUGCUAGGCUGGAGGCCGGUAGAGGGCGGUGGAAUUCCGGGUGUAGUGGUGGAAUGCGUAGAGAUCCGGAGGAACACCAGUGGCGAAGGCGGCCGCCUGGGCCGGACCUGACGCUGAGACGCGAAAGCGUGGGGAGCGAUCCGG
rnacentral:rRNA from 1 species